AUACCAUGAUGAGGACAGUUUUUAAUCAUCAUGUUAAAACGUUCAAAUGCCUCAUGAAAAAUUUCCCCCGAUUAUUGUUGAAAACUUCUCAAACUCCGUCU
rnacentral:snoRNA from 2 species